UUUUUUUUUUCUUUUUUUUUUUUUUAGAGUAUAGUUGAUCUACAGUAUUGUGCCAAUUUCUGCUGUACAGCAUAGUGACUCGGUCAUGCAUCAACAUAUUCUUUUUCUCAUACUAUCUUCCAUCAUAUUCUAUCUCAAGAGACUGUAUAUAGUUCCUUGUGCUGUACAGUAGGACCUCAAACCUUAUUUCCUAGUAUGUUCCACUAAUCUCCGAGACCCACAGCCUAGAAGAAAACUAUCUGUUUUCCACAUGGCUUCUCUCUGUUCUAAAUCCUGACAGACUCUUUCUUCCUGCACAAACACAAAAAAGGAAAGGAACCAAAGUCAUCCCCAUCUCCUUUGCCGUCCCUAAAAGAGCCUAUAACUAUCUUUUUUCAAUCAGAGAAACUGUUAUUUUGGGAAACCAGCCACUCGCUCCAAGAUGGCUUUCUGUAUUCUUUUUCAGUUCCAAAAACUGAGAUUGAUUCUUUCUUAAGGAAGCUCUAAAACACUCUCUCUCCCUCCCUCUCCUUUCUCCCUCUCUCUCUCUCUCUCUCAAACACACACACACACACACACACACACACACACACACUCACACCAGUUCUGUUAUGGUUUCCUGUCACCAAGCAAAAAUUAUAUGAUGCCAAAAACAUCAGUUGCCCAAUUUAGCGCUAUACCCUCAUUGAUUUGACGUGUUAUUUAAAUCCGGAGUGCCUGCCGUGCACCCAGGAUCAUGUCAGAUGCCAGGUGUACCCUGGUGAGUAAACAGACGUGGCCCACGCCCUUGAGAAUUUAACUAUCCCGACCUUCACUAAUCUUAUUUCCCGAAACCAGGACACACUUCCAGAGAUAGCUCUGGUUUCCAAAACCACCACAGGCUGCAUGUAAAGAAGCCCCAGCAGGACUGUCAGAGGUUGGCCCUGACCACAAUUUACUGAUGAAGCAUAUCACGGCAUGCCCAGAUGAACCUGUAAAUAAAGGCAGUCUCUAUCUGGCCAUUGAACAGUGGCAUCCAGCCCACCGUGCUGAUUCGGCUGGCAUGGAGUGGCAGCCCCUUGCAGACACACAGUCCCAAAGUAGCUUCAGUGAGGACAGAUGUUCACCUGUCAUUCCCAAGCCAUCCAACCUCUUCUCCCUCAAUCUAAAACCUAUCAGAAGCUUUCUGAAGUUCACCAGCACACCGAACAGCAAACAGUUGUAAUAUUUCACCAGCUACCUAAGUUGUUUCAUAUCAAGCUGCCUAUCCGAACAUUAACAUUUAACACUUGUAAUAUUUACACAUGGAAACAGCGCUGCUGGGCAAGAUGAAGCCAGUUUCGUUCACUAUCUUCUGCUAAAAUUUUCCUGAAGCUGAGCUCUCUCCAUCACAAGGCUUACCUGUAUGGAGAGGGCACUGCUUCUAGAAUCAUCUUGAUUGAGAAUUCAUAUGAUGUAAAAAGCAUAUGAAAAAACAUCAGAAUAUGUAGACAUUAUGUGAUCAGACAAUCAGUAAAAACUUCAGAUGCAGAUUAAUGUAUUGUUCACAAUGAUGAGCCGUAAUGAUGUCUAUGAAUUGCUUUUACAGAAGCCUGCAAAUUAAAAGGAUGAUCUCUCCGCAUUACAUGAAAAUACAUAACGCUCACCGUUUAUGUUAAAUGAGGAGAUGAAAGGACCCCUUCUGCUUUUCUCACCAUAAUGAAAAUAUAAUAAUCCUAAAUUAAUCAUAGAGAGCACACAUAUAAGAGAAUACUGGAAUUCUCUGGUGGCCUAGGGUUAAGUGGCAUUGUCACUGCUGUGGCAUGGGUUGGAUUCCUGGCCUGGAAACUUCCGCAUGCCUUGGGCAUGGCUAAACAAAAAAGAGAGAGAGAGAGAGAGAGAGAAAAUGUCAUCCUGGUAACAAAGAAAGGGCCACCAUUCCCAGUGAUCUCCAAUAUGUCCUUGAAUGAGGCCUAAGACUCUAACGUUUCACACCACUAGGUACACGUCAAGGAUGAAGCAAGGCUUAAUGUAAGGCCAUAUUUUAAGAAUUUUGGUUUAAAAUUCCAGGCUUAACUCUACCUUCUUCUCUAGAUAAUAACUUUGGUAAAAAUUAUGCACAGUCCUUUCCACAAAGCAACCUAAAGGGAGUUCCCACUGCAGCUCAGUGGGUUACCAACCCCUUGUUUUUGUGGCUGUGGUUCACGCCAGCAGCUGCAGCUCUCAUUUGACCCCUAGCUUGGAAUCUUACAUAUGUCAUAGGUGCAGCCCU
rnacentral:lncRNA from 1 species